rnacentral:rRNA from 1 species
UGUGUAGGCGGAUUAAUAAGUCAGUGGUGAAAUCCUACAGCUUAACUGUAGAACUGCCAUUGAUACUGUUAACCUUGAGUAUAGUUGAGGUAGGCGGAAUGUGUUGUGUAGCGGUGAAAUGCUUAGAUAUAACACAGAACACCGAUUGCGAAGGCAGCUUACUAAACUAUUACUGACGCUGAGGCACGAAAGCGUGGGGAGCGAACAGGAUUAGAUACCCUGGUAGUCCC